CUGCUGGCAUUAUGGUGGUGGCGUUCGUCUCGUGGCAGAGAAGUCGUCAGUGAGGAUUGUAGCUCGGUCUAUCACCGAGGAAAGCCAGGUGCGCCGCGUCUUGUGGCCAUAGCGUCAGGAUUGGCAGCUUGGGGCCGCCGGUUCGAGAUUUGUUGCAGAGGGCCGCCGCAACGUGAUAGGCAUGGAAAUGAAUGUAAGAAUUGUAUUUGGUACAUUGAGUGGAAUUUAAUUUAAGGUACUUAAGGAGAAAGCUAGUCUGGGGUGAGUAUUGUAUUGCUUUUAUAAUUGCGUUGAUUUUUUUUGCUUUUCAGGUACGUUU